UACAGAGGUCUCAAGCGUUGUUCGGAUUCAUUGGGCGUAAAGGGUGCGUAGGCGGCGCGGUAAGUCGGGUGUGAAAUCUCGGGGCUUAACUCCGAAACUGCAUUCGAUACUGCCGUGCUUGAGGACUGGAAAGGAGACUGGAAUUUACGGUGUAGCGGUGAAAUGCGUAGAUAUCGGGAGGAACACCAGUGGCGAAGGCGACUUCCUGGCCUGUUCUUGACGCUGAGGCGCGAAAGCUAGGGGAGCAAACGGG
rnacentral:rRNA from 1 species